rnacentral:rRNA from 1 species
CAGUCGCCGCGGUAAAACGAAGGGUGCAAGCGUUAAUCGGAAUUACUGGGCGUAAAGCGUGCGUAGGCGGUUUGUUAAGUCUGCUGUGAAAUCCCCGGGCUCAACCUGGGAAUGGCAGUGGAUACUGGCAAGCUAGAGUGUGUCAGAGGAUGGUGGAAUUCCCGGUGUAGCGGUGAAAUGCGUAGAGAUCGGGAGGAACAUCAGUGGCGAAGGCGGCCAUCUGGGACAACACUGACGCUGAGGCACGAAAGCGUGGGGAGCAAACAGGAUUAGAUACCCGAGUAGUCCCUGUCUCUUAUAC